CGGGGCGUGGCUCAGUUUGGUUUAGAGCGCUUGCUUUGGGAGCAAGAGGCCGUCAGUUCGAGUCUGACCGCCCCGACCA
rnacentral:tRNA from 1 species